GAUGAACGCUGGCGGCGUGCUUAACACAUGCAAGUCGAACGAAAAGGCCAGGAUUUUGUGGGUCGGUCGUUUGCGGAAGGGGGGAGAAAAACGCGUGUAACAUCCCCUUAUCUUUGGGGGAACUCCAGGAAACUGGGGCGAUAACCGGAGAGAAGCUCUUGCUCCAUGUGGGGGGUUGGAAAGAUUCGGUGGUGGGGGAUGGAAUCGCGGCUUACCAGCUUGUUGGUGGGGUAGUGGCUGACAAAGGCUUUGACGGGUAGCCGGCCUGAGAGGGUGACCGGCCACAGUGGGACUGAGAUACGGCCCAGACUCCUACGGGAGGCAGCAGUGGGGAAUAUUGCACAAUGGGCGGACGCCUGAUGCAGCAACGCCGCGUGCGGGAUGACGGCCUUCUGGUUGUAAACCGAUUUCGCCUGUGACGAAGCGUGAGUGACGGUAAUGGGUAAAGAAGCACCGGCUAACUACGUG
rnacentral:rRNA from 1 species